rnacentral:rRNA from 1 species
UAAGGAAUAUUGGUCAAUGGGCGCAAGCCUGAACCAGCCAUGCCGCGUGCAGGAAGACGGCCCUACGGGUUGUAAACUGCUUUUAUUCGGGAAUAAACCUCUUUACGUGUAAAGAGCUGAAUGUACCGAAGGAAUAAGGAUCGGCUAACUCCGUG